UUGGGGGAAAAAUUAAAUAAAUAUAAGUAAGAAAAAAAUUUUUAAUAUAAAUAUUUAAUGGGGGUUAAAGUAUUUUAUAGAAAAAAAUUAAAAAAUUUAUAGUUAAAUAGUAUUGUAAAAGAAAUUUGAAAAAUUAUGAAAUAAAAAUUUAUAUAAAAGUAAAUUUUAUUUAUUGUAUCUUGGGUAUCAGAGUUUAUUAAAAUGUAAUUUUAUGAAAAAUUAUUUCGAAUUUAAAGGAGUUAAUUAAUUAAAAAAUUUAAUAUUAUAUAAUUAUUUUAAAUAAUUAAUUGGAAAUGAAAAGUUAAUCGUUUUUAAAUAUAUCUAAUUUUUUUGGAAAAAAAUUUAAUUUUAAAUUAAAUUAGUUUAAUAAUUUAUUAGUUAAUUAUUAUUAUGUUUAAUUAAAUAUUUUAGGGGAUAAGCUUUAAAUUAAAAUAUUAUAAGUUAUUAUUAUUAAUAAAAUUGAAAAUUUUAAGAUUUAUAUUUUUUAUAAAUUAUAAUUUAUUAUAAAUAAUUUCAUUUAAUUAAAAUUUAAUUUUUAUUUAAUUUUUUACAAAAAUAUAAUUUUUAAUUUGGGAAAUUUAGGAAUAAUGAUAAAAUUAGUAUAUAAUUAAUAAAUUUUUAAUAAAUUAUUAAAAUUAAUUAAAAAGAAUUCGGCAAAAAUUUAUAUUCACUUGUUUAUCAAAAACAUGUCUUUUUGAUAAUAAUUUAAAGUCUAAUCUGCCCACUGAAUAAUUUAAAGGGCUGCAGUAUAUUGACUGUACAAAGGUAGCAUAAUAAUUAGUCUUUUAAUUGAAGACUUGUAUGAAUGAUUUGAUGAGAUGUAAACUGUUUCUUUUUUAAUGAUAGAAUUUAAUUUUUUAGUUAAAAAGCUAAAAUUUUUUUAAAAGACGAGAAGACCCUAUAGAGUUUAAUUUUUUAAUUUUUAUAAGUAUUUUAUAAAAAUUAUAAUUUAUAAGAAUUAAAAAAUUUUAUUGGGGUGAUAGAAAAAUUUAAUUAACUUUUUUUAAAAAAAAAUUAACAUUGAUAUAUGAUUUUAUGAUCCAUAAUUUAUGAUUAAAAGAUUAAAUUACCUUAGGGAUAACAGCGUAAUUUUUUUUUUUAGUUCAAAUAAAAAUUAAAGUUUGCGACCUCGAUGUUGGAUUAAAAUAAAAAUUAAAUGUAAAAGUUUAAAAUUUUGAUCUGUUCGAUCAUUAAAAUCUUACAUGAUCUGAGUUCAAACCGGGGUGAGCCAGGUUGGUUUCUAUCUUUAUAAAAAUAAAAUAAUUUAGUACGAAAGGAUCAAUUAUUUUAAAUAAUUUAAUUAAAAGAAUAUUAAAAAUAUUUUUU
rnacentral:rRNA from 1 species